UACGUAGGGUGCAAGCGUUGUCCGGAAUUAUUGGGCGUAAAGCGCUCGUAGGCGGUUUGUUGCGUCCGCUGUGAAAACUCGGGGCUUAACCCCGAGCCUGCAGUGGAUACGGGCAGGCUAGAGGUAGGUAGGGGAGAAUGGAAUUCCCGGUGUAGCGGUGAAAUGCGCAGAUAUCGGGAGGAACACCGGUGGCGAAGGCGGUUCUCUGGGCCUUACCUGACGCUGAGGAGCGAAAGCGUGGGGAGCGAACAGG
rnacentral:rRNA from 1 species